CUAAAUACCCAUUUUUCUUUUCAAAAUUUUUGUCUAUAGUUUGUAUAUUGAAAUCAAUUAUCUUGGUCAGAUAGAGCAAUGUUUUAUAUGAAACUGACUUAAAACAUCAUAUAGUUUGCUACAAACCAAGUAGAAUCUGAUUGAUGCAUAUAUAUAUACCUGGAAUCUUACAUUUAUGUAACAUAUUUUGUGAAGUUGAAAGAACGAAAUAAUGAUGCAUAUAUACCUUAGGAUCAGUUUCAGUUUGGUUCAAGGAAGAAAUUUUUAUCGAGUAGAGGCAAGUGUAAAAACUUCAAUGGACGAACAAUCCAAAGAAUUUGUAAUUUCUCAACCUUAACUCCUCUUAUGAUUGUGAUCCUAGCUUAGUUAAUCAACACUCUUGAGCUUGAGCUUGGUGCGUGA
rnacentral:lncRNA from 1 species